GCAUUGUUUAUGCGUGUUCAAGCGUGUUCAUACACGCGAACAAUCACUUGUAAAUUUAUUUUCCCAUUCUCGUAUUUCACAUUUGUUCUAUUUGCAAGAUCUCGCCACCGCUUUCUCCUUCGUUCAGUCAUUCCGACGGAAGGGCAUUACUUUUAGUGCGAUAUUCAAGUUGAGAAUAAGAGAAGAAGAGGGUGUGUAGAAAUUAAUUUGCGUGUGUAGAAAUCAGGAGGAGUAGAGAAGAAGAGGGUGCGAGGCUCCUCCGCAACCACCCCGAACGGCGGCAGAGAUCCCAACUCUGACCCCCCGCCGAAGAUAAUUUCGAUAAAUUGCGGGCGUUUCUACUUGUCUUGCAAAUUGCAUCUUCUUUUGGGGCAGAGCUGAUUGCUGUAUGUAUAAGGCAGCUAUACUCUGGCUUGAAUUAUAGGCUUCCCAUUUGGAGAUUAGCAAGACAAGUAAGGGUUGAAGGUUUGCGGGAGUCUGUUGCAAAAGAAAAAAGAAGAGAGAAGAUACCUCUUAAUGUGAUGACGAAAAACGAGAUAAAAAACCUUUGCUUUAUACAGACAUUCAUGCCUCUCCUUGUGAGUACUGAGCCCAAUGUUGGAGAAGAUGCAUUUGCGUGGCUGGCAUCUUUAUUUCCCUUGAUAGCAGAUGUUGCAAAUGGAAGGUUUACUUUUGAAACUUUUAACAACACCAACAGAAGUGGAGAAGCUACUUCAUAUUCCUGAAGAUUUAGUCCCAUUUAAAAUAUGAGCUGAGUGAGGCUGUGCUACUCAUCCAACAAGCAUUGCGGAACAGGUCAAGAAAUUUUCUUUCAAAUAGGGCCCUUGACAUUUUAUCAGCAUAAUGGUUCAAGUUGGUAAUUCUCUGAUGUAUAAGAUUGAAAGGAAAUUGAGUAAUGGAGGUUUUGGUCAAGUGCAUGUUGGAAGAAGGGUAAGUGGUGGCUCUAAGGGGCAGGUCCUAAUGCAAUUUAGGCAUCGAUGAACAAAAAGGCAUUUGGUUUCUCCAAUUCAUUCCUCCUACUCUAUUUUGAAGGUCCAUCAGGGCAUUCUUCCACUGGCAAUUGAAAAGGAGACACCUUACAAGGGAUGAGAUUACUAACAAUCUUGCUUUACAAGAUCCUUGCCAUGUCUAGUCCUUUGCCUUUAGGAAGAGAUUAAUGGGUGGAUCAAAGGACUGAGAGUAUGCAACUUAUAGGAAGAGAUUAUCAUAAGAAAUGUCUUCUUAUAUAUACAAGCAAGUAAAAUUAUUCUACAAUAUAAUUUUAUAGGACCUUUCUUAAUCUUUUUGGGCUUUUGUAUAGUUUUGGUCAUUUAAUCUCUCUCAUAUUGACCUUUUUUUCCCCCUGUGUUUCAGUAAUUGAAAAUUUCUUCUUCUUUUGAA